rnacentral:lncRNA from 1 species
AAAGCAAAGCGUCCGGCGCCGCUCCGGCUUUAUUUUCCUUUUUGGGGGGGGGUCCAAAUCCACCCUGAUCCCUCGACUCCGGAGCAGAGCCCCCCCGGCGGCACCCCCCGCCCGCCACCUCCCCGUCCAGGCCACCGCUCCGAGGCGAAUCCCGGCGCUCCGGCUCCUUCCGGAUGAUUUUCCGAGGGGAAAUAAAGGCCGGUUCACUGCGCAGCAGCCACGGCUGAGCCUCGUCUCCGGGGGGGGAUCUUGGGAUGCGGUGCUUCCCGACGGAUCCGCUGGCAUCCCGGAGCCCCCGGGAGCGAAGCCCGCGGAGCAGCCGGAGCGGGGGCUCGGCCCGGGCCGUUGGGCUCCGGAGCCGCUAGAGGUCAGGCCUGGAACGCCGCUGGGCCGCCCCCACCCCAAAUCCCGCUGUUUUCCCCUGAAUCCGGCCUUUUUCCCCUCGAAUCCAGCCGUUUUCCACCCCAAAUCCAGCCGUUUCCCCCCAAAUCCGGCUGUUUUCCCCUCAAAUUUGGCUGUUUCCCCCAAAUCCGGCCGUUAUCCCCUCAAAUCCAGCCGUUUUCCCCUCAAAUUUGGCUGUUUUCCCCCAAAUCUGGCUGUUUUCCUCCCAAAUCCAGCCAUUUCCCACCCCAAAUCUGUCCGUUUUCUCCCCCAAAUCUGGCUAUUUCACCCAAAUCCAUCUAUUUUCCCUUCAAAUCUGGCUGCUUUCCCCCACAUCUGGCUGUUUCCCCUCAAAUCUGGUUGUUUUCCACCCCAAAUCUGGCCAUUUUCCUCCAAAUCCAGCUGUUUUCCCCCCAAAUUCGGCCCUUUUCCCCAAAAAUCCAGCGGUGUCUCCGGGCGAGGCGCCAUCUCAGGUAUCCCAGCACUCGGGGCUUUUCGGGAGCGGCUCCCCCAUCCCACACUCGCCCCCGGCAUCUCUCCGCGCCCGAAUCCCUGCCCAGCUCGGAGCAAUGUUGGAAACUGGGAAGGAAAAAAGGAGCCAAAAACGGGGCAUUUUGCCACUUUGCCCCGAAUCCGGAGCCGCCGGGAGCCUCUGUGGAUUCAGGCAGCGUCCCGUCGGCCGCCCUUCCCUACGGAGUAGGUUUCGGAGCGGGUUUUGGGGCUGGGUUGCGGCUCCCGGAGCGCGAGGGGCAUCGGAGCCUGGUACGGGAUCACCGUCCUCCACAGUGGCUCCACAACGGUGAUCCGUCCGGACGGAAAGAGCCGGGCACGGAGCGUUCCUCAUCCUCGUUUUCCGGAGGGGGAUAAAAGCCG